rnacentral:lncRNA from 1 species
CGCACAGGGUUAAACCCGGCCGAGCGCUGCGGCCCGAGGCGUUCCGGGAGCUGUAGUCUUCCGGCACCGGGCUUCCGGGCGGCCAUUUUAGUCUCCAGAGCAUGCCGGGAGUUGUAGUCUUUCGCCACUGGGCUUCCGGGAGGCCAUUUCGGCCCGCGGGGCGUGCCGGGAGGGGUAGUCUUCCGGCACAGGGCUUCCGGACGGCCAUUUUGAUUCGCGGGGCUUGCCGGGAGGGGUAGUCUUCCGUCACCGGACUUCCUGGAGGCCAUUUUAGUCCGCGGGUUGCCGGGACGGGUAGUCUUCCGGCACCGGGCUUCUGGGCGGCCAUUUUAGUCCGCGGGGUGCCGGGACGGGUAGUCUUCCCGCACCGGGCUCCUGGGAGUGCGUGCGGUGUCUCUCGAGGCGGCGGCGGGUGCCGCCCUUCGCCAGCGGGGCCCCCCGCCGGGUGCCGCCCCGUGCUCCGCGGGCCCAGGUGCCCUCUGAGCCCUGCGGCACGCUGCCCCUGGUUUGCCCCUCGCCUCUCAAGCAAUUGUGGGCAGGGCAGCGGCUGGCGCCGAGGUCUCACCCCUGUGAGUUCCUGCUGCCUUUGAUCUACAGGAGUAGAGCUCUGGAAUCACCUUGGUAGGCAGCAGCAUUUGAGCAAGCAAAGCCACCCGGGACCAUCCGUUCCUACGUUUGCAGAAGCACAAGCUCUUUGUGAGUGUAAGAGCACUGGGGCGGUUCAAGCUAGAGUUGUGACCGUGAUGGAAAGCUGUUUAUAGCAGGCAUUUUUUUCAUGGGUCGCUGUCUUGGCAUGGGGUGUUCAGGGGUAGAAGACAGAUGCUGAGUCUCCAGUUGUAUCUUUUCUUAACUGUCAAUUUUGUUUUGUGGUGUUUCUUUGUCUACUGUGGAAGGGACCCAACUUCAUCACUGGGCCCCUCUGAGAUAAAGACAUUUGGGGAAUUACUUGUUCUUCUCUGGGACUGAAUAAAAUAAGAGGCAGCGGGGGUUUGGAGAAAACA